rnacentral:rRNA from 1 species
UACAGAGGUCUCAAGCGUUGUUCGGAUUCAUUGGGCGUAAAGGGCGCGUAGGCUGCGGGGCAAGUCGGGUGUGAAAUCUCAGAGCUCAACUCUGAAACUGCACUCGAUACUGCUUUGCUCGAGGACUGGAGAGGAGAUUGGAAUUCACGGUGUAGCGGUGAAAUGCGUAGAUAUCGUAAGGAAGACCAGUGGCGAAGGCGGGUCUCUGGACAGUUCCUGACGCUGAGGCACGAAGGUCAGGGGAGCAAACGGG